rnacentral:tRNA from 1 species
GUUCUUAUAGUUGAAUAAACAACGAUAGUUUUUCAAGUUAUUAGUUUUGGUUAAAGUCCAGGUAAGAAUAA